UCCCUCGUGGCGCAAUUGGCUAGCGCGUUCGACUGUUAUUCUAGGUUCACACGAACCGCAAAGAUGUAAUCGAGAGGUUCGUGGUUCGACCCCACGCGAGGGAG